rnacentral:rRNA from 1 species
AAGGCCUGCGGGUUGUAAAGCACUUUUAGUGGGGACAAAAAAGCCACGGAUUAAUACUUCGUGGUCUUGAUUUAACCCAAACGAAAAAAGCACCGGCUAACUCCUGUGC